rnacentral:rRNA from 1 species
AGUGAACGCUGGCGGUAGGCCUAACACAUGCAAGUCGAACGGCAGCACAGGAGAGCUUGCUCUCUGGGUGGCGAGUGGCGGACGGGUGAGGAAUACAUCGGAAUCCACUCUGUCGUGGGGGAUAACGUAGGGAAACUUACGCUAAUACCGCAUACGACCUACGGGUGAAAGCAGGGGACCUUCGGGCCUUGCGCGAUUGAAUGAGCCGAUGUCGGAUUAGCUAGUUGGCGGGGUAAAGGCCCACCAAGGCGACGAUCCGUAGCUGGUCUGAGAGGAUGAUCAGCCACACUGGAACUGGGACACGGUCCAGACUCCUACGGGAGGCAGCAGUGGGGAAUAUUGGACAAUGGGCGCAAGCCUGAUCCAGCCAUACCGCGUGGGUGAAGAAGGCCUUCGGGUUGUAAAGCCCUUUUGUUGGGAAAGAAAUCCAGCUGGCUAAUACCCGGUUUGGAUGACGGUACCCAAAGAAUAAGCACCGGCUAACUUCGUGCCAGCAGCCGCAGUAA